UACGGAGGGAGCUAGCGUUGUUCGGAAUUAUUGGGCGUAAAGCGUGCGCAGGCGGUUGUGCAAGACAGAUGUGAAAUCCCCGGGCUUAACCUGGGAACUGCAUUUGUGACUGCACAGCUGGAGUGCGGCAGAGGGGGAUGGAAUUCCGCGUGUAGCAGUGAAAUGCGUAGAUAUGCGGAGGAACACCGAUGGCGAAGGCAAUCCCCUGGGCCUGCACUGACGCUCAUGCACGAAAGCGUGGGGAGCAAACAGG
rnacentral:rRNA from 1 species